rnacentral:rRNA from 1 species
UACGAAGGGGGCUAGCGUUGUUCGGAAUCACUGGGCGUAAAGGGCGCGUAGGCGGCUUUAUAAGUCGGGGGUGAAAGCCUGUGGCUCAACCACAGAAUUGCCUUCGAUACUCUAGAGCUUGAGACCGGAAGAGGUAAGUGGAACUGCGAGUGUAGAGGUGAAAUUCGUAGAUAUUCGCAAGAACACCAGUGGCGAAGGCGGCUUACUGGUCCGGUUCUGACGCUGAGGCGCGAAAGCGUGGGGAGCAAACAGG